rnacentral:rRNA from 1 species
CAGCAGUCGCCACGGUAAUACGAAGGGGGCUAGCGUUGUUCGGAUUUACUGGGCGUAAAGGGCGCGUAGGCGGACUGAUAAGUCAGGGGUGAAAUCCCAAGGCUCAACCUUGGAACUGCCUUUGAUACUGUUUGUCUUGAGUUCGAGAGAGGUAAGUGGAACUGCGAGUGUAGAGGUGAAAUUCGUAGAUAUUCGCAAGAACACCAGUGGCGAAGGCGGCUUACUGGCUCGAAACUGACGCUGAGGCGCGAAAGCGUGGGGAGCAAACAGGAUUAGAUACCCCAGUAGUCCCUGUCUCUUAUAC